UAGUUUUAUAUAUUCUAGAAUUAUAUAUUAAUUUUUUUUUUCGUUUUUCUCACUCCCAAAAUUAAUUAGGGUAUCUUUCUUCUUCAUAAAUUUGAAGUUAGAUUUAUCUCUCAACCAAAUGGGGUGAUCCCUGCUAACCUCGUUUUUGGGUUAGUGUGUAUGUUUAGCCCUUCAAUCUCAUCUUUAUUUGAAAAACAUCACUUACAAGUUAAAAACAAAAUCUCCUCUGUUCUCAUUGAAAAUAUCUCUUUUAAGAGUUGGCCACAAUACAUAUGAAAGAUGAGUUCGCUCGUAAAGAUGUUUGGUUCAAUUUUCCUUUUUUGGUCUCAAGAAGUCUCAAAAUUCUCUAAACCUGAUAUUAUAUGUAAGGACACUAUUUUUUGAUAUAUUGUUUGUACAGUAACUGAGCAUAAUGUUGAAAAAAUUCCAGUUUAAAAUAUGUUUUAUCUAAUGAAAGAAUUGUUCUUUCUUAGUAUGAACAAUAAAUAAAAUAUUGAUCUUUUAUGCUCAUAAACAACUCUGAUCCAGCUAUUUGUGUUUGUGUUUGCAUUAUAGCAAGUAUGUCAUUGUAUUAGCAGUUCUGAGUAAUGUGGCAAGAGAAGUGCUUGGUUUUCACUAUAGUAGCAAACCUAGCAUUAUUAAGCGAAGGGGCAAUCGAUUAAGUUGAUCAAGCACUGCGAGGUUGAUGACCUAUCCCAAUAUUGUAAGGAAGAACAUCUCUUAUCGCUUCGACAAUAGUGGUUUAAGUCAAUUGUUUCCUUUGAUUUAUAAAUAAUCAGUAGUAUUCUAUUGUAUUUCUUUUAGACAUUUUGUUUAGUAUUUUAGAUAUUUGUACACAAUGUAAAGUAUUGGUUAUUAAUUCAAGUUACUAUUGGUUUUAAAAAUUAUAUUAAUCAUUUAUUUUUUAGUUAACUCUUUAUAUACGUAUUCCAUAUAAUUAU